rnacentral:rRNA from 1 species
AUUGAACGCUGGCGGCAUGCCUUACACAUGCAAGUCGAACGGUAACGGGCCUUCGGGUGCCGACGAGUGGCGAACGGGUGAGUAAUAUAUCGGAACGUACCUUUCAGUGGGGGAUAACGUAGCGAAAGUUACGCUAAUACCGCAUAUUCUGUGCGCAGGAAAGCAGGGGACCUUCGGGCCUUGCGCUGAUUGAGCGGCUGAUAUCAGAUUAGCUAGUUGGUGAGGUAAAGGCUCACCAAGGCGACGAUCUGUAGCGGGUCUGAGAGGAUGAUCCGCCACACUGGAACUGAGACACGGUCCAGACUCCUACGGGAGGCAGCAGUGGGGAAUUUUGGACAAUGGGGGCAACCCUGAUCCAGCCAUGCCGCGUGAGUGAAGAAGGCCUUCGGGUUGUAAAGCUCUUUUGGUCGGGAAGAAGGAGCCUUGCCUAAUACGCGAGGUGAUUGACGGUACCGACAGAAUAAGCACCGGCUAACUACGUGCCAGCCGCCGCAGUAAGAC